CCAAUAGCGUAUAUUAAAGUUGUUGCAGUUAAAAAGCUCGUAGUUGAAUUUCGGGAUCAGUAGGUCGGUCAUGCCUCUGGUAUGUACUGGUUUCACUGGUUCCUCCUUCCUGAUGAACUGUAAUGCCAUUACUUUGGUGUUGCGGGGAAACUGGACUGUUACUUUGAAAAAAUUAGAGUGUUUAAAGCAGGCUAACGCUUGAAUACAUUAGCAUGGAAUAAUGAAGUAGGACGUUCGAUCCUAUUUUGUUGGUUUCUAGGAUUGACGUAAUGAUUAAUAGGGAUAGUUGGGGGCAUUAGUAUUCAAUUGUCAGAGGUGAAAUUCUUGGAUUUAUUGAAGACUAACUACUGCGAAAGCAUUUGCCAAGGAUGUUUUCAUUAAUCAAGAACGAAAGUUAGGGGAUCGAAGACGAUCAGAUACCGUCGUAGUCUUAACCAUAAACUAUGCCGACUAGGGAUCGGAUGAUGUUAUUUUUAAUGACUCAUUCGGCGCCUUACG
rnacentral:rRNA from 1 species